GACCCCGUGAACCUUUACUAUAGCUUGACACUGAACAUUGAGCCUUGAUGUGUAGGAUAGGUGGGAGGCUUAGAAGUGUGGACGCCAGUCUGCAUGGAGCCGACCUUGAAAUACCACCCUUUAAUGUUUGAUGUUCUAACGUUGACCCGUAAUCCGGGUUGCGGACAGUGUCUGGUGGGUAGUUUGACUGGGGCGGUCUCCUCCUAAAGAGUAACGGAGGAGCACGAAGGUUGGCUAAUCCUGGUCGGACAUCAGGAGGUUAGUGCAAUGGCAUAAGCCAGCUUGACUGCGAGCGUGACGGCGCGAGCAGGUGCGAAAGCAGGUCAUAGUGAUCCGGUGGUUCUGAAUGGAAGGGCCAUCGCUCAACGGAUAAAAGGUACUCCGGGGAUAACAGGCUGAUACCGCCCAAGAGUUCAUAUCGACGGCGGUGUUUGGCACCUCGAUGUCGGCUCAUCACAUCCUGGGGCUGAAGUAGGUCCCAAGGGUAUGGCUGUUCGCCAUUUAAAGUGGUACGCGAGCUGGGUUUAGAACGUCGUGAGACAGUUCGGUCCCUAUCUGCCGUGGGCGCUGGAGAACUGAGGGGGGCUGCUCCUAGUACGAGAGGACCGGAGUGGACGCAUCACUGGUGUUCGGGUUGUCAUGCCAAUGGCACUGCCCGGUAGCUAAAUGCGGAAGAGAUAAGUGCUGAAAGCAUCUAAGCACGAAACUUGCC
rnacentral:rRNA from 1 species